rnacentral:lncRNA from 1 species
UACUGAACAACGCCACCUCAGUGGGUCUGACAGAAGACAGAAGAAUUAAAGUUUAAUUGUGCAUUUCCAAGAACAUGUCAAUGCUAUAAAGGACUUACUAUACUUUCAGCCAACAACUGAGCCUAGGACAUCUCUGAACAUACAGUGGUGAGUGGCACAGCCUAGACCACGGUGACUAGAUUGUCUGCGGCAGAAAAAUUGUCUUUUGAAUUUUGAUCCCAAGAUUGGUGAUGGUGAGGGAUAGUCUUCUUCUGUCUAGUUGUGACACUUUGGGCAACUUAAAUUCUAUACAUUGCUUGCUUCUUAUCUGUAAAAUGAAAAACAAGCAAAUAUCAAAUUAUUGUUGUGUAAUUGAAUGAGUCAAGGUGUAUAACUUAUGCAGUAUAGUUUUUAAUACUUUGAAGUGGCUUGAAACAUGUUUUGUUCCCUUUCUGAGGCUGUCUGUGGCCAAUGAAACUCUGAUAAUAAUAAUAAAUCUGAGACUCUUUUAUUUGAAUACAGUUUGAGGCAUUUCAUAAGUAACCAUUACAUUGUUUUGCCAAUUGUUCCCCCAUAUAAAGUAGUUGA